UUAAAUAUCUACAUCUUUGACUUGUAAUGAUGAUAUAGUAUGACAGUUGACCAAGAUAUCUGCCAUGCAUUAAUGUGGAUGGGAUUAUAGCCGACCGGCGGUGUGAACAGUGGCCAAAAGCAGUGGAUAAGUUCCAUGCAGUCGGCAGAACCCAUCAGAUCAGGGGGAUAUGUCAGAUGGUAGUAGGUGGCACAGUAAUCCAGGCAAAGAUAUUAUUUCUUGACGAGUAAGUCUUCACAAGGAGGUACGUUUUUGAUAUAUAUACAUUCACACAAACUGAUAAUAAAUAAUCUAUCUCAUCACACUAGAUUUUAUCAUCCUCUUGAGUUAACCUCGUGAACAGACAUACUUACUCUCACGCCUGAGCUAUC
rnacentral:lncRNA from 1 species